GUCAGAUGAAGAAUCUCGACAAAAACGCCCAUGAACGUUGCCCCAACUACCGAAGCGAUUGAAAAUGAAGUGUGCACAAAAAUGAGGUUUUCUAUCCUGCAAUAAAAACUAACCGCGAUCGGAGCAGGGUAACCCCUACUUCUCAGCACGUACAUAUGUAUGUCUGUGUGCACACAUAUACAGGCACUUAUGUAAGUGAUUGCGCUUGUGUUGGGAGGUAUAUAAGCACCUAAACAGCAUGACGAGGCUUCUCAGUUCGUUGUGAAACUCUGAGACGAGCACAACGCGAGAGAUGCGCCUGAUCGAAGAAUUUUAAUAGCACAGAACAAAUUUAGAACAUGGAGGGAAAUUUGUUUAAGACGAUGUUUGGACUGCCCACGAGUCCAGAGUCCAGUGAGGAUUACAAUACAGAUACUAGUGAUGAUGAUGUGGAAUUUGUUGGAACCUAUUUAAUGGAAGCCAUGACAGAUCAAGAAAACGUACCGAAUAUAACCUCAAAUUUAGGAAAAAUGGCGUCUGUAUUGACAACUCCGCCAAUGUCACCACAGGACAUUCACAACCUGCAACCCAGAGAUAUGCCAUCGCUUACGGCCAUGUUAUCGAACAAUUAUUCUGGCUAUACUCCAACUGGAUACAUUGUGCACAUUCCCUGCUUCCUGUGCAAGGAACCGUUUAACAACAUUAACAGUCUGAAGGAGCACCUCACGAUGCAUGCUAAGCAAUUGAAUGGAACAAUAAUAAAUAAUCCCACACCAACUGCACAAUCAAUGCUGCCCACUGAUCUGUUCAGUGGAGCACCGUUAAUAAGCACGAGCACAGAACAUGCAAUUCCGCUUGGUGCACCAACUCCCGUUCCGCCUACAAGUGUCACAAUGCCACCAACGGAGCCAACGGAGACUCUCACAUGUGAAAUAUGCGGUAGGGUGCUGAGAUCGAUACUGGGACUGACGCUCCAUGUGCGGAGUCACUACAAUCCGGACCGACAGAAGUAUGUGGCAAAGCCAUUCAAGUGCCAUCUGUGCAGAAAAUCCUACAGACGUCAAUCCAAUUUGCAGAAGCAUAUGACUUGCAGACAUGGCAUGCGUCCCAUCACAGAAGCACUACCUCCACUUCCACGUCCUACUGCAGAUCCAGUUCCCACCUUAGCUUCCGAUGCGGCUUCAGCUACAAUCCCAACUGCGGCUGCACCUGCAGCUCCCACAGCCGCAGCAGAACCUCCAGCGGUUAGGCAAACAGUUCCACGUCCAAUUCAGCCACCGCCAGAUGAUGAGCUGAAUAUCAAGCCGAGCAAAACAAUCAUUUGGAGCACCAAACUGCUAAAUGCCGUCGCCGCUGCCAAUUAUAGUCCUGCCGUGGAAUCCGCCUCCAAGUACAUCGCACCCACGGAGGAGAGCAGUCAACCGUCGAUCUUUAGGCCACCGCCAAAGCAGAAAUAUGCAUUACGUUCCCCCUUCUGCAAUCCAAAUCUGUGGGCGGACUAUGAUAAUCACAUCCCAUAAUAAUCUCGACUUAAAUACUUGUGCACUAUAUGUGCAUGAUGAUUUGCAUUAAGUCGAACGAGGCUAUAUUAAAUAUGUGCUCAUUGCAAUUGCGAUGACAAGCUGUCGUGGGAAGUUGAAUUCAAUGACGAUUAUAGGGCUCCAUCGUCAGAGGCAAUGAAACGACAUUAAAAUCCGAUUCAAUAUCGCCCCAUAUUUCUCCUGCAAUCGAGUAUGCGAGCGCUUUCAAAGAAGCUUUUUUUUUUGUGCUGAUAAAGCAAAAAAUCAUAUAUGUAUAUGAAAUCAGAAACCCGAGAGACUGUUCAUCGUUUCUUUCACUCGAAAUAAUAAACAAUAAAUGUGAUUACGCUUACCAGUAUAAAGCAUGUCAGCAAAAUGUGGAUGUAGUUGAGAACUGAAUUCAAAAUGGAAAACAGCGAUAUUGACGUUACUACUUAUUCCGAAAAUACCUUAAAAUGAACCUAAAUGGAGAAUAUUUUAUCUCUGAUGGACACGCUAAUUUAACUACUCCACUUAAAAUGAAAAGCAACGAUAAUAGUGAGGAAUGCGAUGGUUUUGCAAUGAAUUGUUUUCUCUGCCCGCGAAUAUUUACGGACAUCGAUGAGCUGCAGGAGCAUUUAUCUGUGCAUUCCUUGGAACCCCCAAGUCAAAACACUACGACGCAACAGUAUUUCAACUGCAAUGUUUGCGAACGGAGUCUGCGCUCUGAAAAAGAACUAAAUAAACAUUAUAAAUACUAUCACGAAUCAAAUAUGUUAAGGAAAGCCAAUGAGGCAAACCAGCGCUUCGAAUGCAAAUACUGCGAAAAUAUUUACUUAUCGCAAAAAAAUCUCCAACUUCAUAUGGACUCACAUCAUGGCACAAAAAUAGAGAGAGCAAAGAGAGCAAAACACUCCGACAAACUUUAUGUAGCAAUUCAGCUAGUAGAGCGAAAACAAAAAUAUCCACCUCGAUCGCCAUAUUUUAAUCCAAAUCUCUGGAUUAAUCCCAAUGAUCAUGUUUAAAUCCAUAGUUUGGGUAAAAUGCAAUUGUUUCCUUGAUUCUAAUUCGACAUACAAUUAAAUAAUUAUUAUAUAAUUUUAAUCUAAAAAAAAAUAAAUGAAAAACAAAGUGAUGCUUUAUUUAAAAUUUUAUUUCGCUUUCUAAUAUGUAUAUAUAAGAUUUAUGGUUUAUAGUACA